AAGGUUGGGUAACACUAACUGGAGGACCGAACCGACUAAUGUUGAAAAAUUAGCGGAUGACUUGUGGCUGGGGGUGAAAGGCCAAUCAAACCGGGAGAUAGCUGGUUCUCCCCGAAAGCUAUUUAGGUAGCGCCUCGUGAAUUCAUCUUCGGGGGUAGAGCACUGUUUCGGCUAGGGGGUCAUCCCGACUUACCAACCCGAUGCAAACUACGAAUACCGAAGAAUGUUAUCACGGGAGACACACGGCGGGUGCUAACGUCCGUCGUGAAGAGGGAAACAACCCAGACCGCCAGCUAAGGUCCCAAAGUCAUGGUUAAGUGGGAAACGAUGUGGGAAGGCACAGACAGCCAGGAUGUUGGCUUAGAAGCAGCCAUCAUUUAAAGAAAGCGUAAUAGCUCACUGGUCGAGUCGGCCUGCGCGGAAGAUGUAACGGGGCUAAACCAUGCACCGAAGCUGCGGCAGCGACACUAUGUGUUGUUGGGUAGGGGAGCGUUCUGUAAGCCUGCGAAGGUGACCUGUGAGGGUUGCUGGAGGUAUCAGAAGUGCGAAUGCUGACAUAAGUAACGAUAAAGCGGGUGAAAAGCCCGCUCGCCGGAAGACCAAGGGUUCCUGUCCAACGUUAAUCGGGGCAGG
rnacentral:rRNA from 1 species